GCCCCAUUGCCAUUUGUGAAAACAGUGACCUUAAAGGAGAGGCAGGGGGGAGGCCAUGUGAGGAAAUGGGCAAAGGACUAUCCCUAAGGACCAGAUGUAGUUCCUUCCCAGGCUCCAGAUGUUUGAGCAAUAACUUCUGUCGUUUGAACUUGGAGCUGAACCCACAGCAGGGAUCAGGGAUGACCUGGGCUGAACACAUGACAGUGAACGGGAAUGCUGAAGAUACCGGGAGUGAACGGCAAAGGGAAGGAACACCAGGACUAGCUGCAGAUAAACAUGGUGUUUUUAAUAAACCCCGACCCUUUGAA